rnacentral:ncRNA from 1 species
CCUUAUUGAGAGCGGCUGAGGGAAUAGGCCCUGAGAAGCCCGGCAACCUGUAUGUUGUUUUACAAUAUGCAAGGUGCUAAAUCCUACAGAAAUAUAAUUUUCUGAAAGAUGAGG